GGUAACGGACCGCUGUGAUCCCUUCGGGGUGAACUUGGUGCCGACGAGUGGCGGACGGGUGAGUAAUACUUAGGAAUCUGCCCAGUAGUGGGGGACAACACGGGGAAACUCGUGCUAAUACCGCAUACACCCUAAGGGGAAAAGUGGAGGAUCUUCGGACUUCACGCUAUUGGAUGAGCCUAAGGCGGAUUAGCUUGUUGGUGGGGUAAUGGCCUACCAAGGCAACUAUCCGUAGCUGGUCUGAGAGGACGAUCAGCCACACUGGGACUGAGACACGGCCCAGACUCCUACGGGAGGCAGCAGUGGGGAAUAUUGGACAAUGGGGGCAACCCUGAUCCAGCAAUACCGCGUGUGUGAAGAAGGCCUGCGGGUUGUAAAGCACUUUCAGUAGAGAAGAAAAAACCAGAGGUUAAUACCCUCCGGUCUUGACGUAACCUACAGAAGAAGCACCGGCUAACUCCGUGCCAGCAGCUGCGGUAAUACGGGGGGUGCAAGCGUUAAUCGGAAUUACUGGGCGUAAAGUGCGCGUAGGCGGUCUGGUCAGUCGGAUGUGAAAGCCCUGGGCUCAACCUGGGAAUGGCAUUCGAUACUGCCCGACUAGAAUGUGGGAGAGGCAAGUGGAAUUUCCGGUGUAGCGGUGAAAUGCGUAGAUAUCGGAAGGAACACCAGUGGCGAAGGCGGCUUGCUGGCCCAACAUUGACGCUCAGGUGCGAAAGCGUGGGGAGCGAACAGGAUUAGAUACCCUGGUAGUCCACGCCGUAAACGAUGAGA
rnacentral:rRNA from 1 species